GGGAACCCUGAAAAGUGCCAAACUCUCGGUGCUGUAUAGGUAUGGGGGCAUGCCCCCGCCAAGGCGUAACUUGGCGGGAUGGCAUACCUGCCAUCCCAAUAUCAGUAUUAGUAGGUCUAAUGUGUUGCGAAAUGAUCUCGACAACUGAAUGUUUUGUUCCGUUUCGCUCAUAUCGCUUUCUCACAGAGGGACAGUAGUUCAACUAUUCUCUGAAAAUGUUUGCCUCCGCGUUUAUUCUCUCAUUACUGAUAUCACUGCAGCUUUCUUCUUCUUUGGCUGUAGUGGAGUGAAUCAGCUGGU